UCCAGACUCCUACGGGAGGCAGCAGUGGGGGAUAUUGCACAAUGGGGGGAACCCUGAUGCAGCGACGCCGCGUGGGUGAAGGAGCGUUUCGGCGCGUAAAGCCCUCUCGGCAGGGAAGAAGGAGGACGGUACCUGACUAAGAAGCCCCGGCUAACUACGUGCCAGCAGCCGCGGUAAUACGUAGGGGGCAAGCGUUAUCCGGAUUUACUGGGUGUAAAGGGGGCGCAGACGGCAGCGCAAGCCAGGAGUGAAAGCCCGGGGCCCAACCCCGGGACUGCUCUUGGAACUGCGUGGCUGGAGUGCAGGAGGGGCAGGCGGAAUUCCUGGUGUAGCGGUGAAAUGCGUAGAUAUCAGGAGGAACACCGGUGGCGAAGGCGGCCUGCUGGACUGCAACUGACGUUGAGGCCCGAAAGCGUGGGGAGCAAACAGGAUUAGAUACCCCGGUAC
rnacentral:rRNA from 1 species